rnacentral:lncRNA from 1 species
AUGAUAAAGAGAAGGCUGCAGAUUAAAGGAACCAUGCCAGUUGCUGCAACUCCAGACAGAGAGCGAAGGAAUCCUAUACGAGCCCCCUGGGUUUACAGAAGUCUAUCAAUCACCCUGUCGGUCUUCCGGGUCAUUAUUCAAGUUGCUAUACCCAAUUUUGCUGGAUAUAUCAGAUCAAGCCCAGCUCCAUAGAUGGACAGUGUGUUUUCUUCCUAUUUUUAAAAACAGAAAGGUGGAAAAUUGGUGAAUAUUAUGAGGACACACGGGAAGUACAUUGUUACUAUGGAAAUAAAAAAGAGAACAAA